CGGGUUUGAACGUAGGGAGACAGGGGUGGAAACAUCCUUUUCAGCAAUGACUGCCUACGAGGUGCUGCAUGGUUGUCGUCAGCUCGUGCCGUGAGGUGUCGGCUUAAGUGCCAUAACGAGCGCAACCCUUAUUUCCAGUUACUAACAGGUGAUGCUGAGGACUCUGGAGAGACUGCCAGCGUAAGCUGUGAGGAAGGUGGGGAUGACGUCAAAUCAGCACGGCCCUUACAUCCGGGG
rnacentral:rRNA from 1 species